GCCUGGGUGGCUCAGUCGGUUGAGUGUCUGACUUCGACUCAGGUUAUGAUCUCACGGUUUGUGAGUUCGAGCCCCGCGUCGGGCU
rnacentral:tRNA from 1 species